rnacentral:rRNA from 1 species
AACGAACGCUGGCGGCAUGCCUAACACAUGCAAGUCGAACGAAAGCUUCGGGUCUAGUGGCGCACGGGUGCGUCACGCGUGGGAACCUGCCCUUAGGUUCGGAAUAACUCCACGAAAGGGGUGCUAAUACCGGAUCAUAUCUUCGGCCCAAAGAUUUAUCGAGUUUGGAGGGGCCCGCGUUGGAUUAGCUAGUUGGUAGGGUAAGAGCAUAUCACGGCGACGAUCCAUAGCUGGUCUGAGAGGCUGAUCAGACACUCUUGGACGGAGACACGGCCCAGACUCUUACGGGAUGCAGCAGAGGGGAAUAGUGGACAAUGGCGGGAGUGCUGACCCAGCAAGGCCGGGUGAGUGAUGAAAGUCGGAGGGUUGUAAAGUUCUUUUACCCGGGAUGAUAAUGACGGUACCGGGAGAAUAAGCGCCGGCUAACUACGUG